UUAAAUCAGAUCUUUAUCUUGCUCCUUUCAGCAUCUCCACACUAGAGAUUGGGAAAGGAGUUUUAAAAUUUUAUAUCCAAGGUCUGCAAAGAAAAAAUACAUGGCAUUAAUUAGCCAGUAAUCUGGAGUCUGAAGCCAGCUAUAUAUGUGCUUAUAUGACUUGACAGGCCAUUGUACAGGAAAGUGAUCUGCCUCAGAAUCAAAGUAUUACUAGGAAGAAUCUUUGCAGAUUAUGUCAUAAGUGGAACUGGUAAAACAUUCUUGCACUGAGAACACUCAAUUCCUAACCCACUAAUUUAAGGGUGGAACUAUUUCUGGAAAUAUUAUGAGCCUGAUGAAGAACUUCUUAUUCUGAGUGAAAAAGAAGGUGGUUUUACAAAGAAAUUAUGUUACCUAUUGAUGGAGAGCAAAUACCUAUGACAGACAGAGGAGGAAGACAGAGGAGGAAAGGAUACCACAACUGCAGGUAGUGUCCAUACAGAAAAUGAUUUUGUUU